UCAUUUUAUAACCAGCCGAAUUGGUUCCGCCCCCUCGCCAGACCAGCCGGUGGUCACGGCAGUAAUCUGUUGGACUUUCCGUGCAUCUGGCUUCUUUCGGAGGUGGCUUCAAUUUUGCUUGCCUCUAUCUUUACUCAUGUAUGGUUCAUCCUUGUUGCCGCAUAAGUUUAUUCUUUAUCCCAUCUGUUCUUCCUGUAACUAAUCUGAUCACAUUUAUUUAUUUGAAACUAAACUCCCAUGCAUACUCUUACCAAUUUAAGGCAAAAGGAUUAAUUAUUCUAUUUAAAAAAAAGUUGUGCAUUCAAAUUCAUCGGUUAAUGGUUGAACGAUAUGGAAAGAGAGAACUCUUAGUGAAGGUAAAAAGGAUAAUUUGCCUCUUGAUGAGGACCAGCCAAUCCAGACACAGAAGAGCUUGGAAGAGAAAGCCGACUAUCUUUUACGACAAAUUGAAGAACAACGACGGACUAUAGGUGACUUAAACUUCAAGGUAUGCGAGCUUAUCUUGUUGAUGAUACGCUAUGUACAUUUGAUUCACAAUGAGUUGUUAUCCUUCAUUUGUAACAAAUUUGCUUGGAGUUACCAAAAAUGUAGUACAGACCAUAACCAUCAAUGAUCAGCGAUUUGAUGUUUCCA